CUCUAUCUUUGGAUACUUACCUAUGGAGGUAGUAGUAGCUAUGAUCUUGAAACCUAAAGGAUUUGGCGGUAUCUGUUCAGAUCAGAGGAACCUGUUGCGUAAUCGUCGGCACUCGACUAUCUUACCUUAAGUCUGUUAGUAUACCGUCAUCUAGGCUCUCUCCGUAGAGAAUGCCACAAUAGCGCCGGCUAGAAUGUUAGAUCAAGGUGCUGCGAAUCUUAAGGGGUUAAUUGGUUACAAUUUAUCACACAGUGGAUAACAGUUGAAUAAUUGUUUAAAAAUGGAUUUGACAGUAUCAGAGGUUUAAUAACCCCCUGAGAAGCUGCUCUUAGAUAU
rnacentral:rRNA from 1 species